GAUGAACGCUGGCGGCGCGCCUAACACAUGCAAGUCGAACGGCACCCCUCCUCGGAGGGAAGCGAGUGGCGAACGGCUGAGUAACACGUAGAGAACCUGCCCCCUCCCCCGGGAUAGCCGCCCGAAAGGACGGGUAAUACCGGAUACCCCGGGGUGCCGCAUGGCACCCCGGCUAAAGCCCCGACGGGAGGGGAUGGCUCCGCGGCCCAUCAGGUAGACGGCGGGGUGACGGCCCACCGUGCCGACAACGGGUAGCCGGGUUGAGAGACCGACCGGCCAGAUUGGGACUGAGACACGGCCCAGACUCCUACGGGAGGCAGCAGUGGGGAAUCUUGCGCAAUGGGGGGAACCCUGACGCAGCGACGCCGCGUGCGGGACGGAGGCCUUCGGGUCGUAAACCGCUUUCAGCAGGGAAGAGUCAAGACUGUACCUGCAGAAGAAGCCCCGGCUAACUACGUG
rnacentral:rRNA from 1 species